rnacentral:rRNA from 1 species
UACGGAGGGGGCUAGCGUUGUUCGGAAUUACUGGGCGUAAAGCGCACGUAGGCGGCUUUGUAAGUUAGAGGUGAAAGCCCGGGGCUCAACUCCGGAAUUGCCUUUAAGACUGCAUCGCUAGAAUUGUGGAGAGGGAAGUGGAAUUCCGAGUGUAGAGGUGAAAUUCGUAGAUAUUCGGAAGAACACCAGUGGCGAAGGCGACUUACUGGACACAUAUUGACGCUGAGGUGCGAAAGCGUGGGGAGCAAACAGG